rnacentral:rRNA from 1 species
GCCUACGGGGGGCAGCAGUGGGGAAUAUUGCGCAAUGGGGGAAACCCUGACGCAGCAACGCCGCGUGCGGGAUGAAGGCUUUCGGGUUGUAAACCGCUUUCAGCAGGGAAGAUAAUGACGGUACCUGCAGAAGAAGCCCCGGCUAACUACGUGCCAGCAGCCGCGGUAAUACGUAGGGGGCAAGCGUUAUCCGGAUUUACUGGGUGUAAAGGGAGCGUAGACGGCAUAGCAAGUCUGAUGUGAAAGAUCGGGGCUCAACCCCGGGCCUGCAUUGGAAACUGUUAAGCUGGAGUACAGGAGAGGUA